rnacentral:rRNA from 1 species
UACGUAGGGUGCGAGCGUUGUCCGGAAUUAUUGGGCGUAAAGAGCUUGUAGGCGGUUUGUCGCGUCUGCUGUGAAAAUCCGGGGCUCAACCCCGGACUUGCAGUGGGUACGGGCAGACUGGAGUGUGGUAGGGGAGACUGGAAUUCCUGGUGUAGCGGUGGAAUGCGCAGAUAUCAGGAAGAACACCAAUGGCGAAGGCAGCUCUCUGGGACGGUACUGACGCUGAGACGCGAAAGCGUGGGGAGCGAACAGG